rnacentral:rRNA from 1 species
CGCGUGUUACCAUGGCAGUCGAACGAUGAAAGCUGGAGCUUGCUCCGGCUGGAUUAGUGGCGAACGGGUGAGUAACACGUGAGCAAUCUGCCCUGGACUCUGGGAUAACCCCGAGAAAUCGGAGCUAAUACCGGAUACGACACCUCCCGGCAUCGGGUGGGUGUGGAAAGAAUUUCGGUCCAGGAUGAGCUCGCGGCCUAUCAGCUUGUUGGUGAGGUAACGGCUCACCAAGGCGACGACGGGUAGCCGGCCUGAGAGGGUGACCGGCCACACUGGGACUGAGACACGGCCCAGACUCCUACGGGAGGCAGCAGUGGGGAAUAUUGCACAAUGGGCGCAAGCCUGAUGCAACAACGCCGCGUGGGGGACGACGGCCUUCGGGUUGUAAACCUCUUUUAGCAGGGAAGAAGCGCAAGUGACGGUACCUGCAGAAAAAGCACCGGCUAACUACGUGCCAGCAGCCGCGGUAAUACGUAGGGUGCAAGCGUUGUCCGGAAUUAUUGGGCGUAAAGAGCUCGUAGGCGGUUUGUCGCGUCUGCUGUGAAAAUCCGAGGCUCAACCUCGGACCUGCAGUGGGUACGGGCAAACUAGAGUGCGGUAGGGGAGAUUGGAAUUCCUGGUGUAGCGGUGGAAUGCGCAGAUAUCAGGAGGAACACCAAUGGCGAAGGCAGAUCUCUGGGCCGUAACUGACGCUGAGGAGCGAAAGCGUGGGGAGCGAACAGGAUUAGAUACCCUGGUAGUCCACGCCGUAAACGGUGGGAACUAGAUGUGGGGGUCCGUUCC